CGGUUGGCGGGCUUCGUGGUAAACUCGGAUCUAGAACUCUUUAAUAUUUUGAUUGACACUUUCUAUUAAAGUGCUUUUACUUCACAUGGAACUUAUAAUGUCUAGCGUCUCUAUCUCUCAUGCAGAAGACGGAGAAAUACGGAAAUCUGUUUAUCUGUGCUUAUUAUACACAGAGGAAAGAAAGAAAGGAAAGAACACAAAGGCAAGAAUGCAAACACAAUAUACUGUAAUGAUUAAGUAGCUUAAAACUGAAACAUGUGUUCAGUGGAUUAUGGAAAUAAUGAUAAUUGAUGAUAAUAACCAUCCAAGAAUUACUACAAGAAAUUCUUGACGUAUCGAUGAAAUAUACUGGAUAAAAAAAUAGCAGAAGAAAUUCAUAUCAAAACUGAUUGCUUGCCUUGGCUUUAUAGUAACAAUCAUUUGACAAGACUCAACAAGAAUAAUUAUUGUAAACAUAAUUCUCUUGAAAUUUUAGCCUUUGCUUUUGAGCUGAAUCUGCAUGAAUAUCUGGCAAUUGUUCCUUCUUGGGCUCAGGGUUCACUUGCAAUAAAUUAACCACGUCCAAAUACUUGGCAUCGUUUUUCUGCUAUUUUUUUUGAAUGGCGAGGAAACCUAAUAAAAACAUUAAGGCUUAUGAGCUUAGGCUCCCUUACAUGAAACUUAGCAUGUAUAUAUUAAUAUAACAAAGAUAUGAAGUAUGAAGUAGUAGAGUUAAUUUUUAUCUUGAAUAAUUUUUUGUGUUUCUUUGAGAAGGAUUUCCAGAGAUGGAGAGCAAGUUAUAUCAAUAGGGCAGGAGUUGAAAAGCUUUGGACUUU